rnacentral:rRNA from 1 species
CCUACGGGUGGCUGCAGUGGGGAAUAUUGGGCAAUGGGCGCAAGCCUGACCCAGCAACGCCGCGUGAAGGAAGAAGGCUCUCGGGUUGUAAACUUCUUUUAUCAGGGACGAAGCAAGUGAUGGUACCUGAUGAAUAAGCCACUGCUAACUACGUGCCAGCCGCCGCGGUAAGACGUAGGUGGCAAGCGUUAUCCGGAUUUACUGGGUGUAAAGGGAGUGUAGGCGGGAAAGCAAGUCAGAUGUGAAACCCAUGGGCUCAACCUGUGGACUGCAUUUGAAACUGUUUGUCUUGAGUACUGGAGAGGCAGACGGAAUUCCUAGUGUAGCGGUGAAAUGCGUAGAUAUUAGGAGGAACACCAGUGGCGAAGGCGGUCUGCUGGACAGCAACUGACGCUGAGGCGCGAAAGCGUGGGGAGCAAACAGGAUUAGAUACCCUUGUAGUC